rnacentral:tRNA from 1 species
GGUCUUAUGUUCAAUGAUGAUUCUAGACUGCAAUUCUAGAGGUGUAAAACUAGUAUUACUAAGGCCU